AGCCCAUAAAAAGGGCCAGCAUGGGGCCUGGGACACAACUCUCUGUAUAGUGAAAAAGAAACAUUUGCCAUGAUGAAUUAUGUUGAUGCAAUAAUGAAAGGAUAAUUUUUGGAAGAACUGAACUGUUAUUAAGAGACAAAGGCACAUGAAUCACAUCAACAUUGAUCUACUUAGUAUUACUUCUGAACUAGGCAGUAUUUUUUUUUUGUUUUUGAGACAUGGUCUCACUCUGUCACCCAGGCUAGAGUGCAACGAUGUGAUCACAGCUCACUGCAGCCUCAACCUCUGGUGCUCAAGCGAUCAUCCCACCUCAACCUCCCGAGUAGUUGCGACUACAGGUGUGUGCCACCACACUGGGAUCGUUUCUUGAUUUUUUGCAGGGAAAGGAUCUCACUUUGUUGCCCAGGCUGGUUUUGAACUCAUGAGCACAAGUGAUCCUCCUGCCUCGGCCUCCCAAAGUGCUGGGAUUAUAGGCCUGAGCCAUCAUGUCUGGCAGUAGUAUUUUUUCAAGGUACAUUUCCAUUGAAGUUUGACAGAGAAGAGCACACAGAAAACCAGGAUACAGCGUAAUGAAUUUUCACAAAGUGAACACACUCAUGUAACCAGCUCCCAAUCAAGAAACCGGCAUUCCAAGAAACCCAGAAGUUCUCUCAUGCCCUGGGCCAGUUACUUUCCCCUCAAUAAAG
rnacentral:lncRNA from 1 species